GUUGUGAUUUGCUUUCAUUUUAGUAACUUUGAGCCAUUGGAAACAGC
rnacentral:other from 1 species